rnacentral:rRNA from 1 species
GAUGAACGCUGGCGGCGUGCCUAAUACAUGCAAGUCGAGCGAACAGACGAGGAGCUUGCUCCUCUGACGUUAGCGGCGGACGGGUGAGUAACACGUGGAUAACCUACCUAUAAGACUGGGAUAACUUCGGGAAACCGGAGCUAAUACCGGAUAAUAUAUUGAACCGCAUGGUUCAAUAGUGAAAGACGGAUUUGCUGUCACUUAUAGAUGGAUCCGCGCCGCAUUAGCUAGUUGGUAAGGUAACGGCUUACCAAGGCAACGAUGCGUAGCCGACCUGAGAGGGUGAUCGGCCACACUGGAACUGAGACGCGGUCCAGACUCCUACGGGAGGCAGCAGUAGGGAAUCUUCCGCAAUGGGCGAAAGCCUGACGGAGCAACGCCGCGUGAGUGAUGAAGGUCUUCGGAUCGUAAAACUCUGUUAUUAGGGAAGAACAAAUGUGUAAGUAACUAUGCACGUCUUGACGGUACCUAAUCAGAAAGCCACGGCUAACUACGUG